rnacentral:rRNA from 1 species
AGUUCUAACCAUAAACGAUGCCAGCCAGCGAUCCGCCGACGUUCCUCCGAUGACUCGGCGGGGAGCUUUCCCCGGGAAACCAAAGCUUUUGGGUUCCGGGGGAAGUAUGGUUGCAAAGCUGAAACUUAAAGGAAUUGACGGAAGGGCACCACCAGGAGUGGAGCCUGCGGCUUAAUUUGACUCAACACGGGAAACCUCACCAGGCCCGGACAUUGGAAGGAUUGACAGAUCGAUAGCUCUUUCUUAAUUCAGUGGGUAGUGGUGCAUGGCCGUUCUUAGUUGGUGGACUGAUUUGUCUGGUUAAUUCCGAUAACGAACGAGACUCCGACCUAUUAACUA